CGGCGGAACACGUGAAAUUCCGUCGGAAUCCGGGAGGACCAUCUCCCAAGGCUAAAUACUCCCUAGUGACCGAUAGUGAACCAGUACCGUGAGGGAAAGGUGAAAAGCACCCCGGAAGGGGAGUGAAACAGUUCCUGAAACCGUGUGCCUACAAGUAGUUAGAGCCCGUUAAUGGGUGAUAGCGUGCCUUUUGUAGAAUGAACCGGCGAGUUACGAUUUGUUGCAAGGUUAAGCGGAAAAAGCGGAGCCGUAGCGAAAGCGAGUCUGAAUAGGGCGCAUAAGUAACAGGUCGUAGACCCGAAACCAGGUGAUCUACCCAUGUCCAGGAUGAAGGUAAGGUAAUACUUACUGGAGGUCCGAACCCACGCACGUUGAAAAGUGCGGGGAUGAGGUGUGGGUAGCGGAGAAAUUCCAAUCGAACUUGGAGAUAGCUGGUUCUCUCCGAAAUAGCUUUAGGGCUAGCCUCGAGGUAAAGAGUCAUGGAGGUAGAGCACUGUUUGGACUAGGGGCCCUUCUCGGGUUACCGAAUUCAGAUAAACUCCGAAUGCCAUGUACUUAUACUCGGGAGUCAGACUGCGAGUGAUAAGAUCCGUAGUCGAAAGGGAAACAGCCCAGACCACCAGUUAAGGUCCCCAAAUAUAUGUUAAGUGGAAAAGGAUGUGGGGUUGCUUAGACAACCAGGAUGUUGGCUUAGAAGCAGCCACCAUUGAAAGAGUGCGUAAUAGCUCACUGGUCGAGUGACCCCGCGCCGAAAAUGUACCGGGGCUAAACAUAUUACCGAAACUGUGGAUGAACCUCUUUAGAGGUUCGUGGUAGGAGAGCGUUCUAAGGGCGGUGAAGUCAGACCGGAAGGACUGGUGGAGCGCUUAGAAGUGAGAAUGCCGGUAUGAGUAGCGAAAGAAGGGUGAGAAUCCCUUCCACCGAAUAUCUAAGGUUUCCUGAGGAAGGCUCGUCCGCUCAGGGUUAGUCGGGACCUAAGCCGAGGCCGAUAGGCGUAGGCGAUGGACAACAGGUAGAGAUUCCUGUACCAGUGCUAAUUGUUUAACCGAUGGGGUGACACAGAAGGAUAGGGAAUCGCACGAAUGGAAAUGUGCGUCCAAGCAGUGAGUGUGAGAAGUAGGCAAAUCCGCUUCUCGCGAAGCAUGAGCUGUGAUGGGGAAGGAAAUUAAGUACGGAAGUUCCUGAUUUCACGCUGUCAAGAAAAGCCUCUAGGAAGAGUAGUACUGCCCGUACCGCAAACCGACACAGGUAGAUGAGGAGAGAAUCCUAAGGUGAGCGAGAGAACUCUCGUUAAGGAACUCGGCAAAAUGACCCCGUAACUUCGGGAGAAGGGGUGCUCUAUUAGGGUGCAAGCCCGAGAGAGCCGCAGUGAAUAGGCCCAGGCGACUGUUUAGCAAAAACACAGGUCUCUGCAAAACCGUAAGGUGACGUAUAGGGGCUGACGCCUGCCCGGUGCUGGAAGGUUAAGAGGAGUGCUUAGCUUCGGCGAAGGUACGAAUUGAAGCCCCAGUAAACGGCGGCCGUAACUAUAACGGUCCUAAGGUAGCGAAAUUCCUUGUCGGGUAAGUUCCGACCCGCACGAAAGGCGCAACGAUCUGGGCACUGUCUCAACGAGAGACUCGGUGAAAUUAUAGUACCUGUGAAGAUGCAGGUUACCCGCGACAGGACGGAAAGACCCCGUGGAGCUUUACUGCAACCUGAUAUGGAAUGUUUGUACCGCUUGUACAGGAUAGGUAGGAGCCGAAGAGACGUGUGCGCUAGCAUACGAGGAGGCAAUGGUGGGAUACUACCCUGGCUGUAUGACCAUUCUAACCCGCCACGCUUAGCGCGUGGGGAGACAGUGUCAGGUGGGCAGUUUGACUGGGGCGGUCGCCUCCUAAAGAGUAACGGAGGCGCCCAAAGGUUCCCUCAGAAUGGAUGGAAAUCAUUCGCAGAGUGUAAAGGCACAAGGGAGCUUGACUGCGAGACUGACAAGUCGAGCAGGGACGAAAGUCGGGCUUAGUGAUCCGGUGGUUCCGCAUGGAAGGGCCAUCGCUCAACGGAUAAAAGCUACCCCGGGGAUAACAGGCUUAUCUCCCCCAAGAGUCCACAUCGACGGGGAGGUUUGGCACCUCGAUGUCGGCUCGUCGCAUCCUGGGGCUGUAGUCGGUCCCAAGGGUUGGGCUGUUCGCCCAUUAAAGCGGCACGCGAGCUGGGUUCAGAACGUCGUGAGACAGUUCGGUCCCUAUCCGUCGCGGGCGCAGGAAAUUUGAGAGGAGCUGUCCUUAGUACGAGAGGACCGGGAUGGACACACCGCUGGUGUACCAGUUGUUCCGCCAGGAGCAUCGCUGGGUA
rnacentral:rRNA from 1 species